ACGGGGACCCGCACAAGCAGCGGAGCGUGUGGUUUAAUUCGUUGCUACACGAAGAACCUUACCUGGGUUUGACAUAUAGGUUGUAGGGAACUGAAAAGGGACCGACCCUUCGGGGAGCCUAUACAGGUGUUGCAUGGCUGUCGUCAGCUCGUGUCGUGAGAUGUUCGGUUAAGUCCGCUAACGAGCGCAACCCUCGUCGUAUGUUAUAUGUGUCAUACGAGACUGCCGGUAAAAGCCGGAGGAAGGUGAGGAUGAUGUCAAGUCAGCAUGACCUUUAUAUCCAGGGCUACACACACGCUACAAUGGUCUGUACAAUGGGUAGCCAAGCCGCGAGGCGGAGCCAAUCCUGAAAGCAGGCCUCAGUUCAGAUUGCAGUCUGCAACUCGACUGCGUGAAGUCGGAAUCGCUAGUAAUCGCGGAUCAGCAUGUCGCGGUGAAUACGUUCCCGGGUCUU
rnacentral:rRNA from 1 species